AAACACCCCGCUUGGUAUUUGUGCUUGAGGUAGCAACACAAAUUAGAGCAGGCACGACGACAUUCAGAUGCAGAGCCAUUUCCUCACUAGCUAGCAAAAUUCUAAUAAAUUCGGUACAAAGUAGGUUAUUAGAGCUGCUUACUGAACUGCUCUGCAGAGGAAGGUCUGGGCAGGGACCUGCAGCUCUCAUUGCAGUUUACACCUGUGUGGAUGCCUCCAGGUGAGCCCUGCUCACCGCUUCCACCAGCCUUCGAGACCGGCAGGCGAUGGUGCUUCUGCUGCCAGCAGUGCCCACAGACUCGUGCAGGACUUCAGGUCCUACCGGAGGAGUGUUUCGGGGCUCCGGAAGGCCCAACGCACCGCUGUGCCCAUCUCACCGAGGUAACCAACGCAUCUCAGCAGCACAACAAGAACGGGAUUUGUUCCUACCGCUCCAUGCCCAGACCUUAUGUGGGGUGAGUCAUUUCCACGCGGGUUCUUAACUUGAUAUUGAGUCCGUCUCCUCUGCCAGUGCAGCCUUCUCCUCAUCUCCUCCGUGUAACCUGAGUUCUCGCCCCCAGUUUAAUGGCUACCUCGCCAUAAAUAUUUAACCGAGGAUCCUAGCAGAUGAGCUCCAGCUAACAUGUGGCAAACAGAUUUCCAGUACAAUGGCCCUGCUAAAGCGAUGAUGCAUAAAAAAAACGCUGGGAGGAAAGGAAGGGGUCACGGCUGGGGAGGGACGGGCACUUGGCACACCGCAGCUCCAGCCGCCUGCCCCGCUCAGCCCCCAGAGGAGAGAGGGGGCACGGGGCCCUGGUGGAGCACACGAGGAGGCCUCGGUGAGAGGCAGGCAGAAGACAGCUCAGGCAGAUAAACCCGGGCCCCGCUGGUUGGCCUGCAGCUUUACCCAGAUGAGUUUGGAGUGCUUUAAUUGAUAUCCCUGCAAGCCGAUGCAGCCCGUCCUGCUCGCCAGCCCCACGCCAGCAGGUGCUGGGCGAGGAGCUGGCCAGAAGGGCAACCCCGCUGCUGCUCUCAGCAGCCCGUCGGCUAGAGACCUCCUGGCCUGAAAGCCGCAGCUGGACACGUAAUGCACAAAUUUGCACGGUCUUUUGUUUAGCUCCCUCUUAGCAAUGACUUACACAACAUCCUCCAGCAGUGAGCGCCACAGCCCGUCAAUGAUCUGGGGGGAAAAAAUUACAGCCUACGGCCUGAUAGUUUUACUGCUUACCAGUUAAUUCUUGUACAGAGGGGAACAGAAAAUAAUUAUUUUUACUCCUUUUCUUGGAUACAGUCUUGAUUAUUUGCGGACAUUUACUGCAUGCACGUUCUCAAUACACUUUGCGCAGGUAAAUCUGUGGUUCGGGGGUUCAUUAAUCAUGAAAUUGAGGAUUAACUUCAGAUCUAAUGAGAGAUUAAUUUGGCAAUUUCCAUUCACCAAUGAGGUGAAAACCAACAGUGCUGUCAAUAGCAAAAGGUCUUU
ensembl:lncRNA